rnacentral:tRNA from 16 species
GCGGGAUUAGCUCAUCCGGUAGAGUGACUGCUUCCCAAGCAGUAGGUGGCGAGUUCGAGACUCGUAUCCCGCUCCA